rnacentral:tRNA from 1 species
GGAGAGUUGGCUGAGUGGUCGAAGGCGCACGACUGGAAAUCGUGUGAGCGUGAUGAGCGUUCCCAGGGUUCAAAUCCCUGACUCUCCGCCA